rnacentral:rRNA from 1 species
CGUUACUCGCAGAAUAAGCACCGGGCUAACUCUGUGCCAGCAGCCGCGGUAAUACAGAGGGUGCAAGCGUUUAAUCGGAUUUACUGGGCGUAAAGCGCGCGUAGGCGGCUAAUUAAGUCAAAUGUGAAAUCCCCGAGCUUAACUUGGGAAUUGCAUUCGAUACUGGUUAGCUAGAGUGUGGGAGAGGAUGGUAGAAUUCCAGGUGUAGCGGUGAAAUGCGUAGAGAUCUGGAGGAAUACCGAUGGCGAAGGCAGCCAUCUGGCCUAACACUGACGCUGAGGUGCGAAAGCAUGGGGAGCAAACAGGAUUAGAUACCCUGGUAGUCCAUGCCGUAAACGAUGUCUACUAGCCGUUGGGGCCUUUGAGGCUUUAGUGGCGCAGCUAACGCGAUAAGUAGACCGCCUGGGGAGUACGGUCGCAAGACUAAAACUCAAAUGAAUUGACGGGGGCCCGCACAAGCGGUGGAGCAUGUGGUUUAAUUCGAUGCAACGCGAAGAACCUUACCUGGCCUUGACAUAGUAAGAACUUUCCAGAGAUGGAUUGGUGCCUUCGGGAACUUACAUACAGGUGCUGCAUGGCUGUCGUCAGCUCGUGUCGUGAGAUGUUGGGUUAAGUCCCGCAACGAGCGCAACCCUUUUCCUUAUUUGCCAGCGAGUAAUGUCGGGAACUUUAAGGAUACUGCCAGUGACAAACUGGAGGAAGGCGGGGACGACGUCAAGUCAUCAUGGCCCUUACGGCCAGGGCUACACACGUGCUACAAUGGUCGGUACAAAGGGUUGCUACCUAGCGAUAGGAUGCUAAUCUCAAAAAGCCGAUCGUAGUCCGGAUUGGAGUCUGCAACUCGACUCCAUGAAGUCGGAAUCGCUAGUAAUCGCGGAUCAGAAUGCCGCGGUGAAUACGUUCCCGGGCCUUGUACACACCGCCCGUCACACCAUGGGAGUUUGUUGCACCAGAAGUAGCUAGCCUAACUGCAAAGAGGGCGUACCACGGUGACCCAGGC